GAGUUUGAUCAUGGCUCAGAUUGAACGCUGGCGGCAGGCCUAACACAUGCAAGUCGAACGGUAACAGGAAGCAGCUUGCUGCUUCGCUGACGAGUGGCGGACGGGUGAGUAAUGUCUGGGAAGCUGCCUGAUGGAGGGGGAUAACUACUGGAAACGGUAGCUAAUACCGCAUAAUGUCGCAAGACCAAAGAGGGGGACCUUCGGGCCUCUUGCCAUCGGAUGUGCCCAGAUGGGAUUAGCUUGUUGGUGGGGUAACGGCUCACCAAGGCGACGAUCCCUAGCUGGUCUGAGAGGAUGACCAGCCACACUGGAACUGAGACACGGUCCAGACUCCUACGGGAGGCAGCAGUGGGGAAUAUUGCACAAUGGGCGCAAGCCUGAUGCAGCCAUGCCGCGUGUAUGAAGAAGGCCUUCGGGUUGUAAAGUACUUUCAGCGGGGAGGAAGGGAGUAAAGUUAAUACCUUUGCUCAUUGACGUUACCCGCAGAAGAAGCACCGGCUAACUCCGUGCCAGCAGCCGCGGUAAUACGGAGGGUGCAAGCGUUAAUCGGAAUUACUGGGCGUAAAGCGCACGCAGGCGGUUUGUUAAGUCAGAUGUGAAAUCCCCGGGCUCAACCUGGGAACUGCAUCUGAUACUGGCAAGCUUGAGUCUCGUAGAGGGGGGUAGAAUUCCAGGUGUAGCGGUGAAAUGCGUAGAGAUCUGGAGGAAUACCGGUGGCGAAGGCGGCCCCCUGGACGAAGACUGACGCUCAGGUGCGAAAGCGUGGGGAGCAAACAGGAUUAGAUACCCUGGUAGUCCACGCCGUAAACGAUGUCGACUUGGAGGUUGUGCCCUUGAGGCGUGGCUUCCGGAGCUAACGCGUUAAGUCGACCGCCUGGGGAGUACGGCCGCAAGGUUAAAACUCAAAUGAAUUGACGGGGGCCCGCACAAGCGGUGGAGCAUGUGGUUUAAUUCGAUGCAACGCGAAGAACCUUACCUGGUCUUGACAUCCACGGAAGUUUUCAGAGAUGAGAAUGUGCCUUCGGGAACCGUGAGACAGGUGCUGCAUGGCUGUCGUCAGCUCGUGUUGUGAAAUGUUGGGUUAAGUCCCGCAACGAGCGCAACCCUUAUCCUUUGUUGCCAGCGGUCCGGCCGGGAACUCAAAGGAGACUGCCAGUGAUAAACUGGAGGAAGGUGGGGAUGACGUCAAGUCAUCAUGGCCCUUACGACCAGGGCUACACACGUGCUACAAUGGCGCAUACAAAGAGAAGCGACCUCGCGAGAGCAAGCGGACCUCAUAAAGUGCGUCGUAGUCCGGAUUGGAGUCUGCAACUCGACUCCAUGAAGUCGGAAUCGCUAGUAAUCGUGGAUCAGAAUGCCACGGUGAAUACGUUCCCGGGCCUUGUACACACCGCCCGUCACACCAUGGGAGUGGGUUGCAAAAGAAGUAGGUAGCUUAACCUUCGGGAGGGCGCUUACCACUUUGUGAUUCAUGACCG
rnacentral:rRNA from 1 species